rnacentral:lncRNA from 1 species
AUUUCGUGGCUUUUUCUUGUGAGUUUGUCGUUUGUUUGAUUUCUACAUAUUGUGAGGUGUAUUUUGAUGUAAGAUUUGUGAGCAUUUCACCACCCCCAUUCUUCUUCACAGUUGUGCCUCUUAGAAGGGGCUGAGAAAUAUCCAUUAGCACCAAUAAUUUCAGGUGCUUUCCCUCUUUCCCACGAUUCUGGGGAAUAAUCACCUUUUUAAAAAUCCUCUCUAUUUUCUUUCCAACCUCUCCAGAGACCUACGCCCACAUUGGUGCAUAUUUGAAUGCUUCCUCAUCUUCCUCUAUACCUUCUGUCCAGUUACUCAAAAUUAGUAACUGGCUGUCUAAAAUCCAUGGUCCCCCACUGAGAAUUCUCCUCCUGUACUCUUCUGCCGGUAAUGAGAACUGGAAGAGGUUGGGACCAAGCUCCACUGCGGUGAGCCCUUCUGGGUAGCCCCAUGCUGGUGUCACAAAGUUCCUUACCCUUGAAACAUUUGUUAACUCAUCUCCUCUUAUUUUCCCAAUUAAACUGCUCCUGCUCUCCUGAACACCACUAUCAACAUCCUCUAGAUCUAAACAAGCCCCCCC